rnacentral:rRNA from 1 species
GAUGAACGCUGGCGGCGUGCCUAAUACAUGCAAGUCGAGCGAACAGACGAGGAGCUUGCUGCUCUGACGUUAGCCGAGGGCGGGUGAAACACACGUGGAUAACCUACCUAUCAGACUGGGAUAACUUCGAGAAAGCGGAGAUAAUACCGGAUAAUAUAUUGAACCGCAUGGGUCGAUAGUGAGAGACGGUUUUGCGGUCACUUAUAGAUGGUUCUCAGCGGCUUUGGCUGGUUGGUAAGGUAACGGCUUACCAAGGCAACGAUGCGUAUCCGACCGGAGGGGGGGGUCGGCGACCUGGGAGCUGAGACACGGUCCAGGGUCCUACGAUAGGCAGCAGAAUCGAAUCGUCCGCAAUGGUCGGAAGCCUGACGGAGCGACGCCGCGUGAGUUAUGAAGGUCUUCGGAUCGUAAAACUCUGUUUCUAGUUGUGAACAAAUUUCUAAUUUACUAUGCACUGCUUGACGGUACCUGGUCAGAAAGCCCCGGCUAACUACGUG